AAUACGAGCGCGAAAGGCUUGCUGGGAAUUUUUAGCGAUUCCCAGCAAGCCUUUCGCGCUCGUAUU